CAGUGAGAUCCUGUCAACAACAACAACAAUAACAAAACACAAAGAAAAAGUUUGGAUGUCACUGUUUUCCCGCUAAUGUCCUUUUGUUCUUUCAGGAUCCAAUUCACAAUACUUUUGGUACAUUGGCUGUAUAUAUAGAUGUAAAGGGCUGCAUAGGCUGUACACUGCACUACUCUGGGGGUGCCAUUUACAUUGCUGUGCCAGGCACUGUUCAUAAUGCUUUACAUCUAUUAACUUGUUUAGUCAUCACGGAAGCUCUAAAAGGACCAGAAACCAGAAAUGCAAUUUGC
rnacentral:lncRNA from 1 species